GGACAUCCGAUAAAAUUGGAACAAUACAGAGAAGAUUAGCAUGCCCCUGAGCAAGGAUGACAUGUACAAAUCGAGAAAUGGUCCAAAUAUUU
rnacentral:snRNA from 1 species